AUGGGACAACCCCUCGGGCUUGCCCCAUUUGGGGCCCCUGGACCUUUCCCCUAUCAGAUACCCUUCGGAGGAGCCAAAGCUAGUGAUCUGAACUCUCUACAAAGAAAAUAUUUGUUAGAUAUGAUUCCCCCCAAUAGAUGGAGCAAGUGAACUGCAAAUAGAGUGUACUUAGAACUCGAAAGACAAAGAAGAACCAUAUUGGAUUUUUUUUUAUUGACCUGCAGUGUAAUAUGAGUAGAUAAUGAUCUCACAUGUUAGUGAACAUGUCCAUUGUGGUUAAUGAUCCCUAAUGUUGUGUGUAUGAUAUUUGUAUCAAGAGACAGAAUUUUUUGAAUAAGAGUUAUACAUUGGAGUCUGAUUGCUGAAAAUUGAUGGUUAUUAAUAGAAUAGUGCUUUUGGGGAAGAGAAUUUUUAUUGAAUUUGACAAACACUAUAUACUUUUCAAUGUUAAUUUUGAAAUGUGUGAACGUUUUCUUCAAAGUAGUUCUGUGUGGUAAUUUUGUAAACAUCAUUGCAUCGAAUGUGUACAGAUAGAUUGUUAUGUGAUGAACUGUAUCAGUAUUGUGUUGAGGUGUAUGUAUUAUGAGUUUUUUUAAACAGUGUUUCACUGCCACAAAUUUGAGAUAUUUACUCCAUAUUAACUAGAGACAGUCUCCACAUUUAAUAACGUGGAGAAAUCUGUUUGGAAGCCUGCACAAUAGGGUAAAUUUGCUCCACCGAAUAAUGAAGCAGAAACACUUAACAAUGUGGUACAUUUAUAACUGUACAAGGUAGCCAGCUAGUUUGUAAAUUCUAGUGCCAAUAAAUGUACGAAGUUAUCUUUGCAUGACCAGUGUUUCCUCUGGUAAGGAAACAUAAUGGUGUGUACUGUGAAAGAUUUUUUUGUUUGUUUUUUUACCUUUUUUUUUUAGAAAAUUAGGUACAAGCGUGAUUUAAAUCUAUGUAUAAUAAGACAACUGUGUAUGCUAAAGUGUGAAAGGUUAUUUCUUCUUUCUCUGUAUGAGGCUAUGGACUUUGUGUAUAUAAGUGACUAUAUUUAGACAUUGCUGUUGUGUGUACAACAUGUGUUUGGGUGGGAGUGCAAGUGUCUGGCACAUUAGUGCAGUUUAUCUUCAGUAUCUGGUGUACUGGUCAUGGCUAAGAAUGGUGAAAAUGCCCACACCCUGGGGAGAUUAUUUAUUUAUUCCGCAGCAUGAGGUCCUGUGCUCUUGUCAUGCCAGUCAUAUUGAAUGGUAGUUGCGUAGCUAGAACUGGGGCGCGUCAUGGUCAGGAGCUUUGAGAUUAGUUAGACAAAGUGCUGAGAGACGACUGUAAGGUGAAUGUCGAGGUACAAGUCGGUGCCUUGUGGUAACUAAACAGUCCUUGGAGAAAGAAAUCAUUAUUUAUCUGCUUCUGUUUAUGAAAUUAGAGGCUUUCAUUUCAUUUGGUCAGACAUUCAUCAAAUUUCUGUUGUCCAAGAAAUUUUUGUUUACUGUAUAGUUUUGAUAAAAAGGAAUGGGACACUUAUUGGAACACCAGUGUAACAUUGUAGAAUCAAAUUAAUGGAUUUUUAUUUUUUUUUUACUUUUCGUCUGUGGUUAUUUUCAUUGCCAUCAAUCUCAUUUGUGAAUUUCCACUCUGUUUCUCAUGCAUAUGACCAUCAGAAAUAUGUCGUAUGUAACUCUAUGAUGUGACUUUUCUUAUUUUGGAAAACUGUGUUCCAAUAAACAAUAGUGAACAU
rnacentral:misc_RNA from 1 species